CAGGUGGCGGGGUGGGAAAGACUGCAAGUCGAACGAAGGAUUUAAAUAGCUUGCUAAUUAAAUUCUUAGUGGCGGACGGGUUAGUAACACGUGAGAUACCUACCCUUUAGACAGGAAUAGCCCAUGGAAACGUGGAUUAAUGCCUGAUAGUCUCUACGGAGUAAAGGAUGCCUUCGGGUGUCGCUAAAGGAUGGGCUCGCGGCCUAUCAGCUUGUUGGUGAGGUAAAAGCUCACCAAGGCGACGACGGGUAGCUGGUCUGAGAGGACGAUCAGCAACACUGGAACUGAGACACGGUCCAGACACCUACGGGUGGCAGCAGUCGAGAACCAUUCACAAUGGAGGCAACUCUGAUGGUGCAACGCCGCGUGGAGGAUGACGGUCCUAGGAUUGUAAACUCCUGUCAUUGGGGAGUAAGACUUAUGCGUUAAGAGCGUGUAAGUUUGAUAGUACCCAAAGAGGAAGGGACGGCUAACUUCGUGCCAGCAGCCGCGGUAAUACGAAGGUCCCAAGCGUUGUUCGGAAUCACUGGGCGUAAAGCGUGUGUAGGCUGCGCGGAAAGUCAAAUGUGAAAGCCCGGGGCUCAACCCCGGAACUGCAUUCGAUACUCCCGCGCUAGAGUGAUGGAGAGGUAAGUGGAAUUCUCGGUGUAGCAUUGAAAUGCGUAGAUAUCGAGAGGAACAUCAAUGGCGAAGGCAACUUACUGGACAUUUACUGACGCUCAGACACGAAGGCCAGGGGAGCAAAAGGGAUUAGAUACCCCUGUAGUCCUGGCAGUAAACGGUGCUCGCUUGGUGUGGGAGGAUUCGACCCCUUCUGUGCCGGAGCUAACGCGUUAAGCGAGCCGCCUGAGAAGUACGGUCGCAAGACUAAAACUCAAGAAAUUGACUGGGGACCCGCACAAGCCGGUGGAGUAUGUGGCUUAAUUCGAUGCAACGUCGAAGGAUCUUUACCUAGGCUUGACAUGCUUGAUCGUUUCCCUCCCGAAAAGGAGAGUCAUUUUCCGAUGGACAAUGCAACAAGGUGCUGCAUGCCGGUCGAUCAGCUCGUGUCGUGAGAUGUAUGUUAAGUCCAGCUAACUGAGUCGCAAUCCCCAUGGUGAAACUGAUUGGCAUGCGUCAGUAAAGGCAGGGAAACUCUGUUCAGACUGCCCUAGAAUUCACCUGCUAGGUAACGCUUC
rnacentral:rRNA from 1 species